AUGCAGGUGCUCGUGUGGAAUGUCCAUGGAUUAAACUCCCUGGCCAAGCGUCAUUCUAUCUUCCAAGUGGUGGCUUCGGUAGACCCUAAUAUUGUUUGUUCCUAGGAGACCAAGAUGGAGAUUGUAACUCUGGAUGUUGUCAAACAAUGUCUCGGUAAUACAUUUGGGAGCUUCUUUUAUCUCCCGACGGUCGAAAUGUGUGGUGGAAUUUUGCUGGCAUGGGACCCGUUGGUGGUCACAUUAUCAAACCCUCACCCCCUGAUAACACUCUGUCAGCCUUAG
rnacentral:rRNA from 1 species